rnacentral:rRNA from 1 species
CCAGGAAAAGCCUCUAAGCUUCAGAUUGUAAGGAAUCGUACCCCAAACCGACACAGGUGGUCGGGUAGAGAAUACCAAGGCGCUUGAGAGAACUCGGGUGAAGGAACUAGGCAAAAUGGUACCGUAACUUCGGGAGAAGGUACGCUCUUGAUGGUGAAGUCCCUCGCGGAUGGAGCUGACGAGAGUCGCAGAUACCAGGUGGCUGCAACUGUUUAUUAAAAACACAGCACUGUGCAAAAUCGUAAGAUGACGUAUACGGUGUGACGCCUGCCCGGUGCCGGAAGGUUAAUUGAUGGGGUUAGACUUCGGUCGAAGCUCUUGA